CCGGAGAAUGUUAUCACGGGAGACACACGGCGGGUGCUAACGUCCGUCGUGAAGAGGGAAACAACCCAGACCGCCAGCUAAGGUCCCAAAGUCAUGGUUAAGUGGGAAACGAUGUGGGAAGGCCCAGACAGCCAGGAUGUUGGCUUAGAAGCAGCCAUCAUUUAAAGAAAGCGUAAUAGCUCACUGGUCGAGUCGGCCUGCGCGGAAGAUGUAACGGGGCUAAACCAUGCACCGAAGCUGCGGCAGCGACACUCAGGUGUUGUUGGGUAGGGGAGCGUUCUGUAAGYCUGCGAAGGUGGCCUGUGAGGGUUGCUGGAGGUAUCAGAAGUGCGAAUGCUGACAUAAGUAACGAUAAAGCGGGUGAAAAGCCCGCUCGCCGGAAGACCAAGGGUUCCUGUCCAACGUUAAUCGGGGCAGGGUGAGUCGACCCCUAAGGCGAGGCCGAAAGGCGUAGUCGAUGGGAAACGGGUUAAUAUUCCCGUACUUGGUGUUACUGCGAAGGGGGGACGGAGAAGGCUAUGUUGGCCGGGCGACGGUUGUCCCGGUUUAAGCGUGUAGGUGUGUGUUCCAGGUAAAUCCGGUUCACUUUAACACUGAGGCGUGAUGACGAGGCACUACGGUGCUGAAGCAACAAAUGCCCUGCUUCCAGGAAAAGCCUCUAAGCAUCAGGUAACAUCAAAUCGUACCCCAAACCGACACAGGUGGUCAGGUAGAGAAUACCAAGGCGCUUGAGAGAACUCGGGUGAAGGAACUAGGCAAAAUGGUGCCGUAACUUCGGGAGAAGGCACGCUGACAUGUAGGUGAAGUGAUUUACUCAUGGAGCUGAAGUCAGUCGAAGAUACCAGCUGGCUGCAACUGUUUAUUAAAAACACAGCACUGUGCAAACACGAAAGUGGACGUAUACGGUGUGACGCCUGCCCGGUGCCGGAAGGUUAAUUGAUGGGGUCAGCGCAAGCGAAGCUCCUGAUCGAAGCCCCGGUAAACGGCGGCCGUAACUAUAACGGUCCUAAGGUAGCGAAAUUCCUUGUCGGGUAAGUUCCGACCUGCACGAAUGGCGUAAUGAUGGC
rnacentral:rRNA from 1 species